rnacentral:rRNA from 2 species
UGGGGAAUAUUGCACAAUGGGCGAAAGCCUGAUGCAGCGACGCCGCGUGAGGGAUGACGGCCUUCGGGUUGUAAACCUCUUUCAGUAGGGAAGAAGCGAAAGUGACGGUACCUGCAGAAGAAGCGCCGGCUAACUACGUGCCAGCAGCCGCGGUAAUACGUAGGGCGCAAGCGUUGUCCGGAAUUAUUGGGCGUAAAGAGCUCGUAGGUGGCUUGUCGCGUCUGCCGUGAAAACCCGGGGCUCAACCUCGGGCGUGCGGUGGGUACGGGCAGGCUAGAGUGUGGUAGGGGAGACUGGAACUCCUGGUGUAGCGGUGAAAUGCGCAGAUAUCAGGAAGAAAACCGAUGGCGAAGGCAGGUCUCUGGGCCAUUACUGACACUGAGGAGCGAAAGCAUGGGUAGCGAACAGG